UCGAGUAUCAUAAAUAAAGUUGAGGUUUUGUUACAACUCUAGAAGGUUUAAUGUUAUCAGUUCCAGUAACUAUACGGAAUAACGUAGACCUAGCAAAGUUAUUCAUGUAACAAAUAACCUAAAAGUUUUUAGGUUGGAGCAUUUAUUUAAUACCUACUAGUGCUGUUCGUGGCCGAAAUUGGACCAAUUAUCAUGUGUGGAUUUUUGGGCUAUUUUACCCUAUUUGGAAUCAAGCUGACGCCUAUCUAAUGAAACUGCAUAAGAAAAAAUAUACUUCCUUACUGAGAGCCAUCGUGUGGAAAGAUAAAUUAUUAAUAUAUCCACAAUUGCGCAGUUCGAUAAGAACGUCGGAUGUAAGGAUAGUAAAAUAGAUAUACAAUGCGGAUGCGAAUAGCAGGUAUCGGUGGGGGAGAGCGACCUAUCACGAUCAGAGAAAGUAAAUAAAGCAGGGAUUCUCAAAUUGUACGACGCAGUUGGAUGCAGGGUAGGAUGUAGGGUGAAGAACAAACAAGAGUGCCGCGAAGUGGCCCAUUCACCGGAAACUGUGUACUAUCAUAAAAGAAAUGAAAACAUUACUGUACUAUAUUUCUGAUAUUGUACAUAUAUUUGAAAUAAACAGUCUAAAUGAAAUACCAGAUCGUAAGUAAGAGUGUUCUCUAAACUUUGACAACACUAAACAUGUAAGUGUGCCACAAACUAAGAAACUUUUGAAACCCUUGAAUAUAAAGUCUACCUACUGUUGAAUAAAAUUCUUGAUGAAUCAGGAAAGUGAGUGAAAUCUAAAAAUAGAAUAAGAGGUAAAAGGCUACACUUAACGCCCGACCAUUCAACAGACAGCGGGGCUCUCGUUGUAAAAAAAGAACAAAAAAUACUGAACAGAGUGAGCGUUCACGCAUCCAGGGUUCUAUAUCUGCGGAGCAAAGAGGACAUACCAAAAGAAGGGUAUUAUAAAUUUGCCACUAAAUUAAUAAUCUUCACUAAACACA